CCUACGGGUGGCAGCAGUGGGGAAUAUUGCACAAUGGGGGAAACCCUGAUGCAGCGACGCCGCGUGAGUGAAGAAGUAUCUCGGUACGUAAAGCUCUAUCAGCAGGGAAGAAAAUGACGGUACCUGACUAAGAAGCCUCGGCUAACUACGUGCCAGCAGCCGCGGUAAUAAGUAGGGGGCAAGCUUUAUCCGGAUUUACUGUGUGGAAAGGGCGCGUAGGCGGCAGCACAAGUCUGAAGUUAAAUCGCUGGGCUUAACCCCGGGACUGCUUUGGAAACUGUGCGUCUGGAGUGCAGAAGGGGUAAGCGGAAUUCCUAGUGUAGCGGUGAAAUGCGUAGAUAUUAGGAGGAACACCAGUGGCGAAGGCGGCUUACUGGACUGUAACUGACGUUGAGGCUCGAAAGCGUGGGGAGCAAACAGGAUUAGAUACCCUGGUAGUC
rnacentral:rRNA from 1 species